rfam:Triticum urartu cultivar G1812 contig1454701, whole genome shotgun sequence.
GGGACUUUAGUAUAAUGGUAAAUAUUUAUGACUUUUAAUCAUUAAGAUAUGGGUUCGAAUCCCAUAGGUCCUA